rnacentral:rRNA from 1 species
AGUUUGAUCCUGGCUCAGAUUGAACGCUGGCGGGAUGCUUUACAACACAAGUCGAACGGCAGCACGGACUUCGGUCUGGUGGCGAGUGGCGAACGAGUGAGUAAUGUAUCGGAACGCCUAGUAGCGGGGAUAACUACGCGAAAAGUGUAGCUAAUACUGCAUACGCCCUUCGGGGGAAAGCGGGGACCUUCGGGCCUCGCACUAUUAGGAGCGGCCGAUAUCGGAUUAGCUAGUUGGUGGGUAACGGCUCACCAAGGCGACGAUCCGUAGCUGGUUUGAGAGGACGACCAGCCACACCAAACUGGAGACACGGCCCAGACUCCUACGGAGGCGUAGCAGUGGGGAAUUUUGGAGAGCCGGGGAAAUCGAUCUGCCAUCCGUGUGCGAUGAAGGCCUUCGGGUUGUAAAGACUUUUGGCAGGAAAGAAACGGCACGGGAUAACACCCCGUAACUGACGGUACCUUGCAGAAUAAGCACCGCCACACCACGUGCCAGCAGCCGCGGUAAUACGUAGGUGCAAGCGUUAUCUGGAAUUACUGGGCGAAGGUGGCGCAGUGCGGUUCGGAAAGAAAGAUGAAAUCCUGGGAGCCAUAACUUGAACUGCAUUUUUAACUACCGAGCGAGGUGUCAGAGGGAGGUGAACGUGGCAGAGUGAAAUGCAGAUAUGCGGAGGAACACCGAUGGCACAGCCCUGGGAUAGCACGACGCUUCAUGCACGAAAGCGUGGGGAGCAAACAGGAUUAGAUACCCUGGUAGUCCACGCUCCGCAACGAUGUCAACUGGCUGUUGGGCCGGGCCUUCGGUAGCGCAGCUAACGCGUGAAGUUGACGCCUUGGGAGUACGGUCGCAAGAUAUUAAACUCAAGGAAGAAUUGACGCAGACCUGCAGCCAAGCGGUGAUAAUAUGGAUUAAUUCGAUGCAACGCGAAAACCUUUACCUACCCUUGACAUAAGUCUGGAAUCCCGAAGAGAUCGGGAGUGCUCGCAAGAGAACCGGAACACAGGUGCUGCAUGCAUGUCGUCAUACUGUGUCGUGAGAUGCUGGGUUAAGUCCUGCAACGAGCGCAACCCUGUCAUUAGUUGCUACGAAAGGGCACUCUUAAUGAGACUGCCGGUGACAAACCGAGGAAGGUGGGGAUGAUGCCGUUCCUCAUGGCCUUAUGGGUAGGGCUUCACACGUCAUACAAUGGUCGGGACAGAGGGUCGCCAACUGGCGAGGGGGAGCGAACCGUAAACCGAUCAGUCCGGAUCGCAGUCUGCAACUCGACUGCGUGAAGUCGGAAUCGCUAACGUGACCAGCAUGUCGCAGAAUACGUUCCCGGUCUUGUACACACCGCCCGUCACACCAGGGGAGUGGGUUUUACCAGAAGUAGUUAAAUAACCGUAAGGAGGGCGAUUACCACGGUAGGAUUCAUGAUCAGUGUGAAGUCGUAACAAGGUAA